rnacentral:rRNA from 1 species
UUCCGGUUGAUCCUGCCGGACCUUACUGCUAUCGGGGUGGGACUAAGACAUGCGAGUCGAGCGUUUCUAGCUAUGUUGAGACGCGGCAGACGGCUCAGUAACACGUGGCUAACCUACCCUCAGGACGAGGAUAACCCCGGGAAACUGGGGCUAAUAUUCGAUAGGUGAGGAUGCCUGGAAUGGUUUCUCACUCAAAGGGCUUUAGAUACAUGCUUCUAACGUCGCCUGGGGAUGGGGCCGCGACCGAUCAGGUUGUUGGUGAGGUAAUGGCUCACCAAGCCUAUAACCGGUACGGGCCAUGAGAGUGGUAGCCCGGAGAUGGGUACUGAGACAAGGACCCAGGCCCUACGGGGCGCAGCAGUCGCGAAAACUCCGCAAUGCACGAAAGUGUGACGGGGCUACCCCGAGUGCCAUCCGCUGAGGUUGGCUUUUCUUUGGUAUAACUAGCCAGGGGAAUAAGGAGAGGGCAAGACUGGUGUCAGCCGCCGCGGUAAUACCAGCUCUCCGAGUGGUAGGGAUGAUUAUUGGGCUUAAAGCGUCCGUAGCCUGCUUAGCAAGUCUCCUGUUAAAUUCAGCGACCUAAUCGUUGAGCCGCGGGAGAUACUACUAGGCUAGGAGGCGGGAGAGGUCGACGGUACUUCUGGGGUAGGGGUGAAAUCCUAUAAUCCCGGGAGGACCACCAGUGGCGAAGGCUGUCGACUAGAACGCGCUCGACGGUGAGGGACGAAAGCU